UACGGAGGGGACUAGCGUUGUUCGGAAUUACUGGGCGUAAAGCGUGUGUAGGCGGCCAAGAAAGUCGGAUGUGAAAGCCCUGGGCUCAACCCAGGAAGUGCACCCGAUACUGCUUGGCUAGAGUAUCGGAGAGGUUGGUGGAAUUCUCGGUGUAGAGGUGAAAUUCGUAGAUAUCGAGAGGAACACCGGUGGCGAAGGCGGCCAACUGGACGAAUACUGACGCUGAGACACGAAAGCGUGGGGAGCAAACAGG
rnacentral:rRNA from 1 species